AGAUUCUCAUUCUGACUGCACCCAUUUACUGCACAUUGGUGCGCAAGUGAUGGGAUGCUACAUUUCUCCAAAACUGUUCCUAGGAAGAAACAAAUCCUCAUCUUGAAUGGACUGAGGAUCCUGUUGCACACGGCGCUUGCUGCUCCCUUGAUGCUUGUGGAACACCAUGACGAGAAACAGCUGAGCGAGGAAUAAAAAGCGUAUUUACACAAGCUCCAGUCUGGAUCCAGAACACCUGAGAAGGGAUGAUGCUGACCCCUCAAAGGACCCCAGAUGAUGCUAACCCUGAAUCAAUAAACAUAACUAACAAAUAUUGCUACAAGUGUGACUGCAUCAUAUAAUAAUUAUUAAUUUAUUAUUAAUAUUCAUCUUCUGGCUGACUAUGUCUUGUAUACAUUUUUAAAAAAAUCCUGUCAUACAUGCACAAACUGACAGUCACCACUUAUAAGCUACUUCUAAAUAUUGUAGAAACAUAAUUUUCUGUAAAGUUGCUUUGUAACGAUUUGUACUGUAAAAAGCGCUAUACAAAUAAACAUGAAUUGAAUUGAAUUGAAUUGAAUAAUAAUGUUCAGUAAUGAAAUUAAUAAAAUGAUGAAAUGCAUAGAUUGUGUGAUGUUUAGAAAAGUUGCCAUCAGCUCCUUAAUUGAUGAAGUAACUUUUACACAUCGUGCAAGGCUUUGUGCAAAGAAGGACAUAUGUGCUGCUUUAAACAAAGAAAACUUAAUCUAGAAUCAACCGUCUGUCCAUUUGCUCACACUCAUUAAGAUAUGAAAGGAAAACUUUGAAGCACUUACCUUAAGCUAUCUGACUCUACCUCUGCUAAGUUUCUCUCUUUCACUGGGAAAUCUGAGAUGACUAAAGAGAAUUGUAAUGAGUGAACUGGCAGUGGAAUAAAGUCAGCAUAAUAUUUCAAAGUCAAGUACAAACCUGUGGGGGAAAUCAUCGCCUUACACAUUUAUUUUAAUAAACCUUCCCAAAGCUCAGUGAUGAAAUGUACAGUUGUAAAUCACAUGUUUUAUGAAACUUGUGGUGUGCAGAAUUGAUAGAAAAUGUCUUGAUCAUUUUUUAUUGUGAUGAAUUGUUUUUAAUGUUUGGAUGAGCGUAUGAUGUUCUUCAGCAGUUUACUGGAAGAACAGCACAGCUUCUCAUCGUUCCAUCAGCAACUCAUUGCACAU